ensembl:lncRNA
AGACAUGUUAGGCAAUGGGACGGUCAGUCAGUCAGUCAGACAUGUUAGGCAAUGGGACGGUCAGUCAGUCAGUCAGACAUGUUAGGCAAUGGGACGGUCAGUCAGUCAGACACGUUAGGCAAUGGGACGGUCAGUCAGUCAGAUACGUUAGGCAAUGGGACAGUCAGUCAGUCAGACACAUUAGGCAAUGGGACGGUCAGUCAGUUAUACAUGUUAGGCAAUGGGACGGUCAGUCAGUCAGUCAGUCAGACAUGUUAGGCAAUGGGAUGGUCAGUCAGUCAGUCAGACACGUUAGGCAAUGGGACGGUCAGUCAGUCAGUCAGUCAGACAUGUUAGGCAAUGGGACAGUCAGUCAGUCAGACACGUUAGGCAAUGGGAUGUUCAGUCAGUCAGUCAGACACGUUAGGCAAUAGGACGGUCAGUCAGUCAGUCAGACAUGUUAGGCAAUGGGACGGUCAGUCAGUUAGACACGUUAGGCAAUGGGAUGGUCAGUCAGUCAGUCAGUCAGACACGUUAGGCAAUGGGAUGGUCAGUCAGUCAGUCAGACACGUUAGGCAAUGGGACGGUCAGUCAGUCAGUCAGUCAGACAUGUUAGGCAAUGGGACAGUCAGUCAGUCAGACACGUUAGGCAAUGGGACAGUCAGUCAGUCAGACACGUUAGGCAAUGGGACAGUCAGUCAGUUAGUCAGUCAGACACAUUAGGCAAUGGGACAGUCAGUCAGUCAGACAUGUUAGGCAAUGGGACAGUGAGUCAGUCAGACACGUUAGGCAAUGGGACAGUCAGUCAGUCAGACACGUUAGGCAAUGGGACAGUCAGUCAGUCAGACACGUUAGGCAAUGGGACGGUCAGUCAGUCAGUCAGUCAGACAUGUUAGGCAAUGGGACAGUCAGUCAGUCAGACACGUUAGGCAAUGGGACAGUCAGUCCGUCAGACACGUUAGGCAAUGGGACAGUCAGUCAGUUAGUCAGUCAGACACGUUAGGCAAUGGGACAGUCAGUCAGUCAGUCAGAUACGUUAGGCAAUGGGACGGUCAGUCAGUCAGACACAUUAGGCAAUGGGACGGUCAGUCAGUCAGUCAGACACAUUAGGCAAUGGGACAGUCACUCAGUCAGUCAGACACGUUAGGCAAUGGGAUGGUCAGUCAGUUAGUCAGUCAGACACGUUAGGCAAUGGGACAGUCAGUCCGUCAGACACGUUAGGCAAUGGGACAGUCAGUCAGUUAGUCAGUCAGACACGUUAGGCAAUGGACAGUCAGUCAGUCAGACAGACACGUUAGGCAAUGGGACGGUCAGUCAGUUAGACACGUUAGGCAAUGGGUCAGUCAGUCAGUCGACAUGUUAUUAUUAGGGUCUACAGUUUACCUCCGCCCCCUUGGUCUAUCCCUCUGACCUGAGGUACGUAGAGGAGUCUACAGUCCAUUACUAAUCAAACAUCGUCUCUCUGUCUGUCUCUCCUUAG